AUCUUUGUUACUGCUAAAAAAAAUCUUUCGGUGUAUAUUUUACCUUUUUUUAUGGCUUAUGUGUAUAAAUAUAUUGGAUGUAGUUUAUGUAUCAGAGACUAUAGGUUAAGUGAAAAGAAAAAUAAUAAGAAUAAAGGUCCAAAUCUUUUUGACUUUUUCAACAGAAACUUCUCUUUUGUCUUCUUUAAAUAUUCAAAUUUGUCUGUCCACUCUUUCGUUAUGUUUUUAAUUUAAAACUUUACCUUUCUCUCUCUCUGUCUCUUGUCGGAAAACUCAGAAGCUUCGAAAAUGGGGAGGCCAUGUACGGUAGAAAAGAAGAGUCUUUUGAUCAUCUCUCAUCGUAAUCAAGAGGUCGAAAAUGAAGAAGAGGAAGAAGCGUUGUCUCUGUGUGAUUUGCCGGUGAAUUCAUCUAACGAGAAAGCUGAGCUUCCGAAACAACCAAAGGCAGAAGAGGAGUUCGAAUUCGAAACCGGGUCAUCGUUUCGCCUCGGGUCGGAUUCGUGUGAACUGGCUCCGGGGAUGAGUACGGCUGACGAGUUAUUCUCCGAAGGUCUACUCCUCCCGUUUCGUCACUCCGUCAGCUUAGACGCCGGACUUCCCGGUCCGAACCGGUUGAUCACCAGAUCAGAAUCUGCCGAUUUCCGAAGAACCGGAGCCGGUUCGAACCGGAAAAUCGAAACUAAUUUCAUCGAUUACAGUCAACCGAGUCCACAGCCACAGAUCAUGAGACGAUCAUCGAGCAUGACGGGGAGAGUGAGUUCUAUCAGAAGCUCCAAAUCAUCUUCGAUUUGGGAUUUUCUCCGGUUAGGACUCGUCCGUACGCCGGAGAUCGAACUUCGAACGGCGAGAGUAUCAGUGAGUCGAAACAGUAGCUGCAGUAGCACAAGCACGAGCUCGAAUUCGAAGAGAACAGAGUCGAAACCGAGGAAUCGGAGAAGAAGCUUUCUGUUCGGGGAUUGUAAGUGCUCUGCGGCGGCGACCGAGACGAUCGUACCUGUGAAGAAGACGGCGAAGAAAGAGGAGAAAAUGGCGGUUGCCCGGAAGAGAACGUUUGAGUGGUUAAAAGAGUUAGGGUUUGUCGGUUGAUCACGGGAGACGAAGCUUGGCUUGAUGAUCACUCAAUCAAAGAAACUUCGUGUUUCUCUGUCUUUUUUUUUCUUAAAUAUUUUAAUGUAUUUUUUUCUGUUUAAUCAAUUUGUAGGUGAUUAAUUUUUGUAUGUUAGUGUUGAUUGCCAAUUAUACUUUAAUUUUCCAGAUGAUC